GCGUGGUCCACGAUAGAACUAAUUGCUACCAGCCACCAUGAAGUAAUACCUAAGCGGUGGUAGACGAACUGUAUGUGGGGAGUAGGUUUAGUACGUAGGCGCCAUGGAUGGCGAAUCGUGCAUGCUACUGGUACGUGCUAGUAGUAUUUGUGAAGAUUCCCACCUCCAGCUCGC
rfam:Glossina brevipalpis unplaced genomic scaffold Scaffold427, whole genome shotgun sequence.